rnacentral:rRNA from 1 species
CCUACGGGAGGCAGCAGUGAGGAAUAUUGGACAAUGGGCGCAAGCCUGAUCCAGCCAUGCCGCGUGCAGGAUGACGGUCCUAUGGAUUGUAAACUGCUUUUGUACAGGAAGAAACACUCCGACGUGUCGGAGCUUGACGGUACUGUAAGAAUAAGGAUCGGCUAACUCCGUGCCAGCAGCCGCGGUAAUACGGAGGAUCCAAGCGUUAUCCGGAAUCAUUGGGUUUAAAGGGUCCGUAGGCGGUUUAGUAAGUCAGUGGUGAAAGCCCAUCGCUCAACGGUGGAACGGCCAUUGAUACUGCUAGACUUGAAUUAUUAGGAAGUAACUAGAAUAUGUAGUGUAGCGGUGAAAUGCUUAGAGAUUACAUGGAAUACCAAUUGCGAAGGCAGGUUACUACUAAUUGAUUGACGCUGAUGGACGAAAGCGUGGGUAGCGAACAGGAUUAGAUACCCUGGUACGUCCACGCCGUAAACAUAGGAUACUAGCUGUUGGGAGCAAUUUCAGUGGCUAAGCGAAAGUGAUAAGUAUCCACCUGGGGAUACGUUCGCAAGAAUGAAACGUUAAGGAAAUUGACGGUGNGAGACGUAGACGACGACGACGACGAGGGAGGAGG